rnacentral:lncRNA from 1 species
CUUUGAUUCAUCCUGUCAAUGUGCUGCCAAUUCGUUGGGGUUAAAGAUCCAAUUUACAUUAAUAUGGAGUGCUUUCUUUCUCAUUCCAGGCAAUCAACAAAGGCAGAAAACCCACCAUAAUGGGCUGAUCUCUUUGAUGAAGGAAAACCUCACUCACUGCAUCAGUUCAAAUCCACUCCUUGAUAACUGCAUUAGCUGCUAGAAAUCUAAAAGUAAAUUGGACAAAUAGUACUCGAGCAUAUCAAUAGGCAGGGGAACAAGAAAACAGAAGAAUCAGAAAAUUGCGUAUUUACGAACACUCGCAGGGUUUUUACAAAGUGUACUUGGCUGUUCCUGAGGAGGUUCAUCUCAUGGAUCUUCAAAGUUCAAAAACGACUUCCUAGAGAAAGUGAUACCUGGGCUGGGUCCUAGAAGAUAUUUAGCAAAUAUGUAAGAAUAAAGCUUGCAAGAGUGUGUUUCAAUGAGAACGAACGGUGUGCGCAAGGGCAUGGAGGAAAAGAACAAGUUCACGAAGAACUACAGAGCGUUGUACGAGAAGACUGAUGGAUGGAGCUGCCCAAGGUCUCCACCGCAGUGUCAGAGGAGCGUCACACUCCUUCAGGGUGGCAGAUUCGAACUGAAAUAGUGAAGAUGGGGAAAAGAGAACCUAAAUAACGUGUCAAAUUCUCGAUUUCAAAGAGCAUGAGAAGAAAUACUGUUCCCUCCUAGUGCUUUGUCCGUGCUUCUGUAUUCAACAAAGAAGAGGAACAUCGAUACAGAAUAUUUGUGUGAAAUUCUUAAAAUAAUGUUGUCAUGUGUCCAAUAGAGAGUCACGCAUGAUCAUGCUUUUCAUAGGCUGUCAGCAAACUAUUUACAGAAAACACUGAG